rnacentral:rRNA from 1 species
UAACUUGAGAGUUUGAUCCUGGCUCAGAACGAACGCUGGCGGCAUGCCUAACACAUGCAAGUCGAACGAAGGCUUCGGCCUUAGUGGCGCACGGGUGAGUAACGCGUGGGAAUCUACCCAGCAGUGGGGAAUAACGACGGGAAACUGUCGCUAAUACCGCAUACGCCCUUCGGGGGAAAGAUUUAUUGCUGUUGGAUGAGCCCGCGUCCGAUUAGGUAGUUGGUGGGGUAAAGGCCUACCAAGCCAUCGAUCGGUAGCUGGUCUGAGAGGAUGAUCAGCCACACUGGGACUGAGACACGGCCCAGACUCCUACGGGAGGCAGCAGUGGGGAAU